UUUUAUGUGUCUCAGAUUAGAAGUGAUGUGUGAUGCUGUGUGGUGAACCCUGAUCCUGAAUCCACCUCCAUCUCUGUCCUUUCACACGACACACAAACACUCACACACUGGCUGCCUGUCUGUAGGAGAUUUAGCUCACAUGACCGCCCUGAUGCUGCUCUAUCUGACCGCACUAAAGGGCCAACAGAUCGUCCGUCUCUUUGGUGUCCAUUAUCAGCUGUCAGCACAAAGACCUUUGACAAAUGUUUAAGUAAACAUUUCGAGGAACCCCCUCAGCUCCGGCGCCAGGAAACCUCUUGGAUAAUCUUGAAGGACUCUUGGGUGUAUCUGGAAGGUAUCGCUCCAUGACACAUUUUGUUAAUCAUCAGGGAUGAUUAAAGCUUAAGUUGAAAAUGUAACAAAUAGAACUCAAUCACAUGUUUCCAUAACUGUUACCCUGUUUGUGCUCUGCAGAAGUCAUUUCAAGAAGUGAGACGUUUGUUUCAGCCCCUAUUCUCAAUACUGUGACGCCCCCUGCUGUACUAAAAUUGACAUUUUUCUUUAUUGUGCAAGAUCUUUGAAACCUGAAAGAGGAUCUGUUGACACUGCUGUUCAAUCAGUCAGACAUUUUUUGUUAGUAUGUUAAGUGCCUUAUAUUUGGCUCUCUGUAUUCAGUCAGUGGCCACUUUAUUUUUUAGUGAAAAAUCUACUGAAACACAACAGCUCAGCCAUAACAUUUACUUUUAUGAUGCCUUUAAUGUUCAGGAUUCUUUACACUGUCAUGGAGAAGAUAAUUUCAUAUAUUAAUAUACAUAAUGAAGGCCAUGUAGACAAGACAGUUAUGUGAAAUAAAUAAACCAGCAGUUAAGUGUAACUAUGCGAGUUUUCCACUUUUAUUGAAGAAAUCUUUCCAGAAAAGUUUUGUUUGUGUU